AAGAUGGGAUAAGAAUCAAUAAGAACUGCUAAUCCUUAUAAACCGAGGUUAAAAUCCUCGGCCUUCUUA
rnacentral:tRNA from 1 species